GUGUGCAGAAUAUUAAAUGUCAAAUGCAAAUAUGAAAAUGGAGCUACAUGGUUGCAGAUAGUCCCUAAUUGAUAUUGAGCAGACUAUUCCCUUUAAAUGUUAAUGAAACUGUUGUAAUUACUAAAUGACCAAAACAGCUCAGAAGCCAGGGUUCACAGCUGUAAACCAUUACUUGUAAAUUACUGGCACAGCCCCGCAUUAGCAGAUGGCUCGGCCCAUGGAAGAAAACUUCCUCAAGAUGCUUUUCUUCCAGGCCUGGGCUCAGGAGCAAAUUAGAUGAGCAUAUUAGAGAAGGCCAGAGUGCCUGUUUGGACAUGUCGCUGGCGAUAAACACCUUCUUUGAUCUUCUUAUUUUUUUCAUUACAUUCUUUGCAGAAAGUGCUGAAUAUCACAGAAUACAAAGAAAAGAGAAGGCGAAACUGACAGAGCUUAUAAACAUAGCAGGAAAGUUCAGAUAUGCACAUUUCUGCUGGAGUUUUAAGGAGCAGUGUGUUUCCUACAUCCUGAAGCAGAUGAACUUGAUGGGAUGGAGUUUCUUGAAAGCCUUCGAAGUUUUCAUGGCAAUUCCCUUGUUCAUUGCUACAAAAGUUUACAGGUUUGGUGAUAGAAGUUGAAGAAACUUCUCUGUGAAGAAAUCAACAUCAUCCACCAAGAGGAAAAGGGCAUGACAGGGUUACAAAUCCAAUGUGUGAAGAAGUUCAGAUUGCCUCCCUGGAGACCUAGAAACAAAGCUUCCUGGAGAAAGUGAGUGGUCCAGGUUGAUGUUCAUUUGCCUACUUAAGUUUGGGAACUAUAACUUUGUAACUGUUAUAUGUGACUAUUCAAUCACAAAAUUGUAGAGACAAAACAUGAAAGUAAUCUUCAAAGAUUUCUGUCUUUCUUGGUUCCAUGUGUUUAUAAUUAAUGGACACUUACUAAAAAUUUUAAGUCAUCCAAAAUUUAAG
rnacentral:lncRNA from 1 species